rnacentral:rRNA from 1 species
UACGGAGGGUGCGAGCGUUGUCCGGAAUCACUGGGCGUAAAGGGCGCGUAGGUGGCGCGACAAGUCAACGGUGAAAGCCCGGGGGCUCAACCCCGGGCCUGCGGUCGAUACGGGUAGGCUCGAGUUCGGUAGGGGAGACUGGAAUUCCUGGUUGUAGCGGUGAAAUGCGCAGAUAUCAGGAGGAACACCGAUGGCGAAGGCAGGUCUCUGGGCCAUUACUGACACUGAGAAGCGAAAAGCAUGGGGGGAGCGAAACAGG